GAAAAUAUUAUUAUUUGAACAUAACAUCGAUAGCACAAAGUUCAAACAAAAAAAACAUCCAUAGCAUGGGCAAUGUUUUUUUUUGUCAUCUGCUGAAUUUAUUAGAACAUUUGAACCAUUGUUACGGCACAAAACUGACAAAGAAUGCAAUCCUUUCAAAACCAAAAGUCGAGAGUUAAUAAGUUGUACAUUUUGAAGACAAAGUCCCAUAAUGUAGAAGCAUACUAACACGUUCGAAAUAUAAAACCAAACCACAUACUGAAAUAAAAGAGACCAUUUGCAGUGCUUUCGAAAGCGAAGAAGCUGAUAAUAAACUCCAUAGCGAUGACAAUCAAACACCAUUACGAUAUAGAUGCUUGAGCUGACCACAAGAACCACAAACUUAAGAAGACCAAAAACCAACACAUGUCACAACUACAAACCCAAAGGGUACACACUCGGCAGAACAAUCGCAAGACCAAAGCGAAAACAGAGCCAAUAACUACGAACCACACAACUGUCACCAUGAACCAGAGACACGA
rnacentral:lncRNA from 1 species